UCUAAUAUGGCAGAUUAGUGCAACGGAUUUAAACCCCGUACAUAAAAGUUUUACUUUUUUUUAGAA
rnacentral:tRNA from 1 species